rnacentral:rRNA from 1 species
CCUACGGGAGGCAGCAGUGGGGAAUAUUGCACAAUGGGGGAAACCCUGAUGCAGCGACGCCGCGUGAGUGAAGAAGUAUUUCGGGAUGUAAAGCUCUAUCAGCAGGGAAGAAAAUGACGGUACCUGACUAAGAAGCCCCGGCUAACUACGUGCCAGCAGCCGCGGUAAUACGUAGGGGGCAAGCGUUAUCCGGAUUUACUGGGUGGAAAGGGAGCGUAGACGGCCAGACAAGUCAGAAGUGAAAGCCCAGGGCUCAACCCUGGGACUGCUUUUGAAACUGCCGGGCUGGAGUGCAGGAGAGGUAAGUGGAAUUCCUAGUGUAGCGGUGAAAUGCGUAGAUAUUAGGAGGAACACCAGUGGCGAAGGCGGCUUACUGGACUGUAACUGACGUUGAGGCUCGAAAGCGUGGGGAGCAAACAGGAUUAGAUACCCUUGUAGUC